rnacentral:rRNA from 1 species
UACGGAGGGUGCGAGCGUUGUCCGGAAUUACUGGGCGUAAAGCGCACGUAGGCGGCUUUGUAAGUUAGAGGUGAAAACCCGGGGCUCAACUCCGGGCCUGCAGCCGAUACGGGCAGACUAGAGUUCGGCAGGGGAGACUGGAAUUCCUGGUGUAGCGGUGAAAUGCGCAGAUAUCAGGAGGAACACCGGUGGCGAAGGCGGGUCUCUGGGCCGAUACUGACGCUGAGGAGCGAAAGCGUGGGGAGCGAACAGG